rnacentral:lncRNA from 1 species
GCCAAAAACACACACGUAGGAGCCAUUAAUACUGGAUCUAUACUUUUUAGGGAAUAUCUGGCAUAGAAUCUCUUGAAGUAGACUGUAGCAGUGGCAAUAACUUGUUGUCUUAAUUUAAGAUGUUCACCUAAAGCCUGGAUAACAUUAGUAAAAAAUAUCUGUAGCUUCCAAUAUUCUUCUUCAGACAGAAAUUUCAAGUCUUUUUGGCGCUCCUUCAGUAGAUCUUGUUUAUCCAAAAUCCAUUGUAAAUAGUGCGAGCUCUGCCAGAAGUUCCCGGCCAUGAGGAGCCGUGGGAGGCGCCCGGGCCCUCCGCUGCCCCGGCCGCGCCGCGCCGCCGCCCCCGCGCCGGCACCAG